rnacentral:tRNA from 1 species
CGCUCACCGGGCUGGCGGGCGCGGCCAGUUCUGGCCUGACCAGCCUGUUCGACGGCGGCUCGUUCGCAUGGAGCGUGAGCGGC